rnacentral:rRNA from 1 species
UACGUAGGGGGCAAGCGUUGUCCGGAUUUAUUGGGCGUAAAAGGCUUGUAGGUGGCCACGCCAAGUCGGCUGUGAAAUCUCCCGGCUCAACUGGGAGGGGUCAUUCGAUACUGGCGGGCUCGAGGCCGGUAGGGGGAAGUGGAAUUCCCGGUGUAGUGGUGGAAUGCGUAGAUAUCGGGAGGAACACCAGUGGCGAAGGCGGCUUCCUGGACCGGUUCUGACACUGAGGAGCGAAAGCGUGGGGAGCGAGCCGG